rnacentral:rRNA from 1 species
UACGAAGGUGGCAAGCGUUACUCGGAAUUACUAGGCGUAAAGGGCAGGUAGGUGGUUUGGUAAGUCUGUUGUGAAAGCUCCUUGCUUAACGGGGAGAGGUCAACAGAUACUGCCAGGCUUGAGUAUGGGAGAGGGUACUGGAAUUCCCGGUGUAGCGGUGAAAUGCGCAGAGAUCGGGAGGAACACCGAUGGCGAAAGCAGGUACCUGGACCAUUACUGACACUCAGCUGCGAAAGCUAGGGGAG